rnacentral:rRNA from 1 species
UACGAAGGUGGCAAGCGUUGUUCGGAUUUACUGGGCGUACAGGGAGCGUAGGCGGUUGGAUACGCCCUCCGUGAAAUCUCCAGGCUUAACCUGGAAAGUGCAGAGGGGACUGUUCAGCUAGAGGAUGGGAGAGGAGCGCGGAAUUCCCGGUGUAGCGGUGAAAUGCGUAGAGAUCGGGAGGAAGGCCGGUGGCGAAGGCGGCGCUCUGGAACAUUUCUGACGCUGAGGCUCGAAAGCGUGGGGAGCAAACAGG